CCUACGGGGGGCUGCAGUGGGGAAUAUUGGACAAUGGGGGGAACCCUGAUCCUGCCAUGCCGCGUGUGUGAAGAAGGCCCUCGGGUUGUAAAGCACUUUCAGUGAGGAAGAACGCCUGGUGGUUAAUACCCAUCAGGAAAGACAUCACUCACAGAAGAAGCACCGGCUAACUCCGUGCCAGCAGCCGCGGUAAUACGGAGGGUGCGAGCGUUAAUCGGAAUUACUGGGCGUAAAGCGCGCGUAGGUGGCUUGAUAAGCCGGUUGUGAAAGCCCCGGGCUCAACCUGGGAACGGCAUCCGGAACUGUCAAGCUAGAGUGCCGGAGAGGAAGGUAGAAUUCCCGGUGUAGCGGUGAAAUGCGUAGAGAUCGGGAGGAAUACCAGUGGCGAAGGCGGCCUUCUGGACUGACACUGACACUGAGGUGCGAAAGCGUGGGUAGCAAACAGGAUUAGAUACCCCUGUAGUC
rnacentral:rRNA from 1 species